UACGGAGGAUGCGAGUGUUAUCCGGAUUCAUUGGGUUUAAAGGGUGCGUAGGCGGAAUAUUAAGUCAGCGAUGAAAUCCUGCAGCUUAACUGUAGAACUGUCAUUGAUACUGGUAUUCUUGAAUACAGUUGAGGUAGGCGGAAUGUGUAAUGUAGCGGUGAAAUGCUUAGAUAUUACACAGAACACCGAUUGCGAAGGCAGCUUACUAAACUGUGAUUGACGCUGAGGCACGAAAGCGUGGGGAGCAAACAGG
rnacentral:rRNA from 1 species